rnacentral:tRNA from 1 species
UCCGGUAUCGCCCAACUGGCAGGGCGCCUGGCUGUUAACCAGGUUGUCGAGGUUCGAGUCCUCGUACCGGAG